GACGAACGCUGGCGGCGUGCUUAACACAUGCAAGUCGAACGGUGAAGGGGCCUGCUUUUGUGGGCCCUGGAUGAGUGGCGAACGGGUGAGUAACACGUGAGUAACCUGCCCCCUUCUUCUGGAUAACCGCAUGAAAGUGUGGCCAAUACGGGAUAUUCUGCGCCUGCUGCAUGGUGGGUGUGGGAAAGAUUGUGCCUUUGGGUGUUUUCGGUGGGGGAUGGGCUCGCGGCCUAUCAGCUUGUUGGUGGGGUGAUGGCCUACCAAGGCGGUGACGGGUAGCCGGCCUGAGAGGGUGGACGGUCACACUGGGACUGAGACACGGCCCAGACUCCUACGGGAGGCAGCAGUGGGGAAUAUUGCACAAUGGGCGCAAGCCUGAUGCAGCGACGCCGCGUGAGGGAUGGAGGCCUUCGGGUUGUGAACCUCUUUCGCCAGUGAAGCAGGCCUGUCCCUUUUGUGGGUGGGUUGACCGGUAAGCUGG
rnacentral:rRNA from 1 species